rnacentral:sRNA from 1 species
GCGAUCAUACCAGCACUAAUACACCGGAUCCCAUCAAAACUCCGAAGUUAAACUUUUGGAUAAAAUGAAAAGGGCUCGAGUACUAGAUACUAAUCAAAAGGCU